AAGCCACAACAGACACAAGGUCAUGGUUCAGAGUCAUACUGUGUAUUUUUCCUCUCUCUGCUUUAAAAGACAGCCCCCCGUGUUCUCACCUCCCCGGUUUAUGACCCUCUGUGGCCCGAAGGGAUCCUGCAGAGGAUGACAAGGAGCGAGCAGCACUUGCCCACCCAUUUGUCAUGUUUUUCCCAGUGUCUGUGCUGCUGCAACUUUCGCUGAAUGAGAGGAGCAGUGAGGACUACUUUACCCUUUCUCCGUCACGCUCAGCACUCAGUUCAGUGCAGUUAAAACACGUGGCGGUGACCGGAGGCAGAUUGUGACUUAGGACUGAGCUUGCUCCCGCCACACUGGAUGAGUGCUUAAUUAUCCUGAUCAGGGCUGAUUUUGUGAAAUGAGCACAGUGCAUGAUAGGACUCUCAACAGCAAGCUAAACAGAGGAGCACAUUUGGACAAAUGGAAAUAGCUUGGUGGAGAGGUAAACAAAUCAAUAAAUAUGAGACAAUCAAUAAGGCACUAUGACUCCACUUCAGUGUUAGUGGCUGUGAUGACUGACAUCUCCUGGUCAGCUCAGAAGAAAGAAAAUGAAUCUCUCAGCUCAACAGAUGGACUAAAAGCUUACUGACACAUCCCUGAACUUUCCCACAGGAGCUUCUUGCAUCACGUUUUUAAGUAUCUGUUUUACCCAUUAAAAUUCAAGUCUAUGCAUGUUUCUUAAACAUGCGUAGAUGAUGAUGAUGAUGAUGACCUUAAAGAAUUGUGUAAUAUUCCCAUUCAGCGCAAGAUGGGAAAAUCCUCCACUGCUGCAAUUUACUGAAGCUUUGCUGAGACUCUGAGUGUACACGCUUACAGUAAUUCAUCAAACACUUAUGAAGGGAGGAGCCCAUAAUAACAUGAAAAGAGAUUUCUUUCAGGCCAAGAUUUUACGUAGCUGAUUGCUCAAAGGGGCUAACUUGUGUUUCUUUGUGCAUUUAAAAAAAAUCAUUAAAUUAAAUGUCUUCUCUUUCUGUCACAUAAACAAUGUGUAAUGCAUUAGGAAGAGAAUUUACAACCACAUUCACAGACUCAUAAUACUCACCUUAGAUCUCUCAAAAAGCAUAUAUAUUAAGCUUGAAUCUACUUGUGAAUGAAGAAUUUAUCUACACAAAGACAAGUAUACAGAAAAUAUCUGUGGAUCUGCCGGAAAGCUUAUUAAAGCAACAAUCUAAUCAGACCCAGGAGACGUCAGCUUUGCUUCUGCAGCUUGCCUAUCACCUAGUUUAUUAGUGCACAGUUCUGCGACCACAUGUUACAGCUGUGUUCCUGCCUCUCCCAGUGGCAAAAUAACAAGCAAUGUCCCAGUUCACGCUAGAUGCAUUGCAUAAGGCAAUUUGUGUAUGACAAUCGCAGUUUCUUUGGCGCCCAGUAAUGCUGCUUGACGGCCAGCCAGCCAGUGUAAAGGCACCACUAAAGGACUAUUGCAGGCUUUCCAAUUUCAAUGGGAUGUAGACUUGAUUAAGAAAGAAAGGGAUUUGCAUAAUUUGGUACAAUGGUGUGCUUUAUAUAUGUAGAAGUUCUGGAAUACACAGAGGGGUUCUUAGAUAAUAAUGAGCUUAGCCUAAAGACGUUUUUGAAAUCUGAACAGGGAUGAAUAUUGACAUUAGCUAAUGCUCUGCUGGCCAGGAAUACAUGAGGUAAUAAAUGCAUUGUUUUCCUGUAGGUAUUGAUUUGAAUAGAGAGACAAUUCAAUUUAGAGUUCAUGGAUCAAUUGUUAAAGCAUUUCAGUAUAAAAACAGCUAAAUAACAGAUGGCUGUGCAAUCCUGUUUGGAGAGUUGAAGUAAUUUGAGUUUUAUGUAUUUUAGAAGAAAAUUUACAAUUGAAAACUAAAUGACAAAUAAGAGAGUUCUAUAUGAUAACACAUUAACACAUAAGGGAAAAGUGCAAGCAGGUACAGAUAAGGUUCAGGUAUAGGUCAAGGGAACAGGGUACAUGAUGGGUAAAGGGUACAGGGUACAGAUGACUGGAAAGCAAGGGAACAAAGCAAUCAUGACAAUCUGGCAACUGACUGGGGAAAAGGGGCUGGUAGAGGGAAAGUGGGAACAAGUGAUGGGAAUGGUGGGAAAGGGGUUACUGCAGGGCAGGAGGGAGUGGCUGGAUGUGAUAGUCAGGUGACUGGGAUAGGUGGAAAAGUCUGAGGGCAUCUCGUGGACAGGUAGAGAAUGGCGGCAAUGUGGCUAGAGGAAUGUCAUAUUAUAUACAUACAUAAAUGUAUAAUCUUGAUGAAAGGAUGAACCAAUAAAGUCAAAUUGGAGGAAUAAAGAAAUUCUACUGCUGGUAAAUUAGAGAAAGGAAAUAAUGGAAAUGUAAUAGUACCACACAAGUGCAGACCAUAAAGAUUCAUGACAAACAAAAUCAAUGUAAGCUUGUUCUUUUUUGAUAAAUGAAGGAAAAAAAACAGCAGUGUCAAAUGCUAUAGUAUAUAAUAGUAGCCUUAAUCGUCAUGACCAAUGAUAUUCUGCACAAUCACUCCAAAACAUGUAUCAGAAGGUGUUUGUUUACCUAUGUGUCUGUGGUGCAGCCAUGUAGGAUUUACUCUGAGACAACAUAAAAGACCUCUGGAGCUCUUCAACAGACUGUAUGAAAUUGAAAAAUAGAUUUGAUUCUCUGUUUAAGCAGCAAUAAAAGUGACCUAUUUUCACUUCAUCCUUCACAUAAGUCUAAGGUUUUACUCCCCAAAUCAGUAAUUUAUAAGAGACUGCAUUUGAAUUGUAUCUGAAAACAGUGCCAGUUCUUUGUACUCUGAAACAAAAUGGGAUGCAGACCUUUCCCUUUUCAACUGAUUCUAUUCAAGAACAGGUUUUUCUAAAAAAGGCCUUUGAUUUAAUUAAAUCUUGCCUUGCAUGGGGCACAGCUGUAGGCUCCUCUGCUUUGGGCUGGAAGAGCUUGGGAGUCGCCUGAAUCCAUCCAUCUUCAUCCUUGUCAAUUAUGCCGUUAGCGGGCUGCACAUCUUCAUUUCCAAUGUGGGCACUGUCUCAAAGUACUUCCCAAAGUCACCGUAAUCCAAUUAUAUUCUGGCAUUCACUAUGAUACAGCCCAUUAGAAAAGGCUUAAUCAAUGUGAGGUCUUCAUUAAAGCAAUUUAUGAAUAUUCAUCAUGACACUCAAUUCGAUACUUUAUGGGAACUUGAAUCAGACCAUUUCCCCCCAUGGCGCCAUAACAUAACCUGGCUAUAGCUUUAAUGGUAGCUCUUUAAGUAGAGGGGUAAUAUUCUGUAUUAGUUAGGUAAUAUGAAGCUCUCUCCACUUAAAACACUAUUUAAUCCACUGAUGAUGCUUUACAGCCAGGCCAAACACAAAAGGAUUUUUUUUUUUUGUAUUAGAGAGGUGUAUGUAGAGCUUUUGACUCUUGGAUGGUCCCACUUAGGUGUUUCCACAUUUAUUCUUCCGGGCACUGUGCAUAAAUAGCUAAUUGCUCUGCAACCCUCAAAUUGGUUCUCUCAACAGAGAAUAACAAACAGCCAAUAACUCAUUUGGGGCUAAGUAUCCAUUACAAGUGCUUCCCCCUUUAUCUCCAAGGAGACCACACACACACAGACACACACACACAGCAACCUACUAUACUGAGUCUCCAUUUCAGAAGCUGCAGCUGAUUUUCAUACCACUGGCAUUACUAAUGUAUUACAAAAAUCCCACAUAUGGCAGGCCACCCUGAUAAAUGGUGAAUUAUGAAUUGGGUCGUUUCAUAGAAUGCAUUAGAUCCAGCAGGAUUCGACUAAGUUUAUCAUCAUAUUACAGGAAUAGUUCAAUAUUCUGGGAAAUAAGCUUAUAGCAUGCGGAAGUGCUGAUAUUGAGUCUGGGCCUCUGUUCCACUGGCUUACUCAACUCAUUCAGCAUUUCUUUCAUUGGUGUUUAUGAAAAAAUUAAAUGUGUUCCUAAAAUGUACUUUGCACAUUUGCAUCCAUACAGCAUUUGCUGUAAGAGGACAACUAUAUACUCUGUGAGCCUGACAAAAUAACUACAGCUCCCAUGGAAAUUUACCAAUGAAAUGGAAAUAUACUAUAUCCAGAAUAUUUACCAUCUGUCUCUUCUAAAGAUUUUUUUCCAACUUUGUAGCUGUAAUCUUCUCUGUCUAUAAACACAGUCCAGUCUCUCUUUUUUGCUGUUAUUAUGGACAUGUCUCAGUUAAUCGCAGCCCCUUGACCCGCCCACGGACUCACCUAUUCUGUUGACCCGUGACAUUUAACCCCUUCUAGGGCUUUUGGGAAAUGGUGGUCGUUAAAGGCUGAUAAAAACAGAACUAUUGACUUGAUUGCUUUUCUAAAAAUCCCAUCUCUUAUCUAGACAUAAGAGGAGUGAACAUUAACAAUGAGUAAUGAGUAAUUUUAUGUCCCAUGGUGGAUUUUUAGUUUGCUUUCUUUUCAAAAGUUAGAGGAGAAGAUCACGCUCAUGUCUGUCCGUUGAAUGAAGAUGGAGGUAAGAGACAAUUAGCUUAGCAUAAAGAAUGGGGUGUAAAAUAGAUAAAAUUAUCCAAGGGUAAAGAAGAUCCACCCACUAACACAUCUAAGGCUCACUGACUAAGACAGUUUAUCUUGUUUGUUGUGUCUGUACAAAAGAACAAGGAGCUGUGGUUUUAGUGGGGUUAUGUGUGGGACUAUUUCUUGGCAGUGACUUCCUGGAGUUCCCGCUUGUUGCCUGGCAGCUUCACUGUGAUGAAGUGAUGAAGUGCAUUGUGCCCGGUCAUUUUUUAACUUCAAUUUUUUUUUUUUUUUUUAAAAAAAAAAGAUGAGGUUCUGGUAUGUGGAUUUUUUUUUACUCUAGGGAAGAGUCAGGCUAGCUGUUUCCCUCUGUUUCCAGUCUUUAUGCUAUGCUUAAGCUAAGCAGAUCAGUUGCUGGCUGUAGUACAGAUAUGAGAAUGGUAUCGAUUUAAAAGAAAUUAUAAUAAAAUAAAAAAAAGUGUUCUUUCAUGCACCACUGUUCAAAGAUUCUUUAUUCUUGAUAUGAAAAUUGAUACAAACAAUGUUAAAUGAUCUGGUGUAUGAAAACAAGUUGUAAAUUAGGCUGCUUGAAAUAGUUUGUGUUCAUUGGACAGUGCCCCGA